CCUACGGGUGGCAGCAGUGAGGAAUAUUGGUCAAUGGACGAGAGUCUGAACCAGCCAAGUAGCGUGAAGGAUGACUGCCCUAUGGGUUGUAAACUUCUUUUAUAAAGGAAUAAAACGAGGAACGGGUGCCUUUUUGCAUGUACUUGAUGAAUAAGGAUCGGCUAACUCCGUGCAAGCAGCCGCGGGAAUACGGAGGAUCCGAGAGUUAUCCGGAUUUAUUGGGUUUAAAGGGAGCGUAGAUGGGGUGUUAAGUCAGUUGUGAAAGUUUGCGGCUCAACCGUAAAAUUGCAAUUGCUACUGUCAGUCUUGAGUACAGUUUAGGUAGGCGGAAUUCGUGGUGUAGCGGUGAAAUGCUUAGAUAUCACGAAGAACCCCGAUUGCGAAGGCAGCUUACUAAACUUCCACUGACAUUGAUGCUCGAAAGUGUUGGUAUCAAACAGGAUUAGAUACCCGUGUAGUC
rnacentral:rRNA from 1 species